AACCGGUACGGGAGAGAAAAAAAUUGCCCAGCCACGCACGUCCCGGCCUCCCAAUCUCAUCUCCACCGGCAGCGCAACACCACCUCCUACCCUGCCCUCACCGCGCGCCGCCGGACACACCCCGCCGUCGAGCGCCACCACCGCCUACCCUCCUCCCAUCGGGAUCCCCCCGAUCCAAAAAUCCAUCCACCCAGUCCUCUCCUUGAUUUCCAAAUCGAGCCUACCGGCAGCCUCCCUGCGCAGCUAUGCCCCCGCGCCUCUGCCGCACCGAGCGCCCGACCAGGCCGUCGUUCGUCACCCGCGGAUCUGGCCGCCCCUCACCUUCCCCAUGGGCUGCACCUCACAGCGCCGCCGCCCCUGCCAAGCUCCGCCGCUGGAGGAUGAAAUUCUGUCAAUGCCCACUGUCUUCAAGUAAUACUGUUGCAUGGGUAGCAGUGGAGAAUCCAGACGCUUGCUGUUGUCCCUUGCAGAGGUCCAGGAAAAAAAGUGUAGUGGUUCAGGAAAAACAGAGAGGAGCUGCUCUGUUAUUCCUUUAGUCAAUCUUUUGGCCUAUCUCCUUCUGUAUUAUGAUUUCCAUCUUGAGAGAAAAAAAGGAAAAACAUGUAAAGUUGUAUGUUUUUUUAUGUUUGCAAUUUUUUGUUUUGUGGAGAAUUAAAGGAUCGUGUAUGCUUGCCGUUGAAUCCAACUGUUUUUAGUUUUUUAGUGUCCAGGAAAAAAUCUUGGGAACAUUUGUCAUGCUAGCCACCUGACGCUCGGCAUAUCCUCUCCCUCGUGGCAUCCAGCUUUGCUGCAGGGACCAAAAGGUGCUCCAUCACCGGAUUCAUCAUAUUGGAAUCCUCUCUUCUUGUGUGGUUUAGUCAACUUUGUUUUCCUGUAUCGUACAGUUGGGGUCAAGAUCGAAGUCGGCUGAGCUAUUGGGUGGCUCUGAAGAUGUGUUUGUGUUAGAGAUUAGUUUACAUGCAAAGUAAGUUCUGUAAGAAAAGUAUUACUGCGCACCACUCCAAUUUGUUCCUUGAACUGAU